UGCCAGAGCCUCACCCGACGCUGCCGAUUUGCCUAACCGCAGGCGGCGGUUUUCCCUUCUCCUUCUCCACCUCGCGGCGACUCCUUGCAUCGCCUUGCCUCUUCCUUUACUGUCGCCGAAGGUGUGCCCUUGCCGGAUCCCUCUGCCGAAGCUUCUUCCUCUCCCUCUCACUCUCACGGCGAGGAGCGCCUCUUCCCUCUACCGAUCUCUGGUUCUUCUUUGAUUGACGACGCCGUCGGCUAUUGCCGGAGCUGCAGAGCCCCUCUAUCGCGGAGGUCAUGCCCUAGCCCCUCUGCUGUGAUUUGGCAGCACAACUGCCACCUUCCUUCCGUGCCCUAGCAGCAAUUCUUGAAGGUAAGGAUUGUGUACUGUGGAACAACAAUCAAGGCUGUGAGGUAGAGGUAUUUUGUUGCUGUGGUGUUGGAAUUGAGAUCGUGAGGUGAAGUAAGACUUGCUGUGGAGUUGUUCUUAGUUUCCAGCAGCGAUUUCUCUGUCCGGCAGUAUACUUCCCUGCUGUGGAUCAAUAGUCACGGCUGUGAAUUGAGGACUUUGACAUGAGACGAGCAUCUCGACGUUGGAUUUGAUUGGACUGGACCUGC